rnacentral:rRNA from 1 species
AUUGAACGCUGGCGGCAGGCCUAACACAUGCAAGUCGAGCGGAGCGGCGGACGGGUGAGUAAUGCCUAGGAAUCUGCCUGGUAGUGGGGGAUAACGUCCGGGAACGGGCGCUAAUACCGCAUAAUAUCAGAUGAGCCUAGGUCGGAUUAGCUGUUUGGUGGGGUAAAGGCCUACCCAGGCGACGAUCCGUAACUGGUCUGAGAGGAUGAUCAGUAACACUGGAACGGAGAAACGGUCCAGACUCCUACGGGAGGCAGCAGUGGGGAAUAUUGGACAAUGGGCGAAAGCCUGAUCCAGCCAUGCCGCGUGGGUGAAGAAGGUUUUCGGAUUGUAAAGCACUUUAAGUUGGGAGGCGUUACCAAAAGAAUAAGCACCGGCUAACUUCGUGCCAGCAGCCGCGGUAAUUC